rnacentral:rRNA from 1 species
GGGGGGGGGGGGGGGGGGGGGGGGGGGGGGCGGGGCGGGGGGGCGGGGGGGGGGGGGGCGGCUCGGGCGUGAGCGGGGGGCGGGUGAGUAACACGUGGAGAACCUACCUAUAAGACGGGGGUAACUUCGGGAAACCGGAGCUAAUACCGGAUAAUAUAUUGAACCGCAUGGUUCAAUAGUGAAAGACGGUUUUGCUGGCACUUAUAGAUGGAUCCGCGCCGCAUUAGCUAGUUGGUAAGGUAACGGCUUACCAAGGCAACGAUGCGUAGCCGACCUGAGAGGGUGAUCGGCCACACUGGAACUGAGACACGGUCCAGACUCCUACGGGAGGCGGCAGUAGGGAAUCUUCCGCAAUGGGCGAAAGCCUGACGGAGCAACGCCGCGUGAGUGAUGAAGGUCUUCGGAUCGUAAAACUCUGUUAUUAGGGAAGAACAAAUGUGUAAGUAACUAUGCACGUCUUGACGGUACCUAAUCAGAAAGCCACGGCUAACUACGUG